rnacentral:miRNA from 1 species
UUGGGUUGGCCAAAAAGUUUGUUUGGGUUUUUCUACAAUACCUUUCAGAGAAAUCCGAACAAACGUUUUGGCCAACCCAG